GAGGGUAUAGCUCAAGUGGUAGACCUCUUGCUUUGCAUGCACAAGGUUCUGGGUUCAAUCCCCAGUACCUCUG
rnacentral:tRNA from 1 species